ensembl:lncRNA
CACGAUGUAGUGAUCUAACGCGUGGUGAGCAGUUUCAUAUCGGAGCGUACGUGGUCACGGCGCACAACGUACACGUUAAUGACGGGGAACAAAACGCACAUCUUUUAAUGUUUAAAGGGAAAUCAUGUGUACAUAUUCUGUUAAAAACGUUGCACAGGGAUUAUUUUUAUUCUGUAUUUCACAGGGAACAACAACAACAACAACAUCAUCACGUGGUGACGGACGCAGCGUUGUUCAGACAAACGUUUACCGACCGUAUCGUUACACUUUCGUAAAGCUUUAUAACUCUACAUAACUCUUUUCCAUUGCUAAUAAUUAGAGACGGCGCCAGACCUCUUGGUCUUUUCCGAUACCGAUACCAUCCGAUAUUUUUUCUUUUUUUUUUUUCUUUAACUAAUAAGCUUUAAACUUUAUUUUUAUGCACUGCAGAGGAAAAAUACAUAUCUGAAACACAUGACUCGCCAAACCCGCAGUUUUUUUUCCGCCUUCCAUUGCAAAUAUAAAUACAUAUAAUUGUUUUUAUUCUAUUUAAACUUAAUCUGACAGGAUGUUACAGGAUCUGAUCAAAUUCGCUUCUUAUUUUCUCUGCUAUCUGAUCAAUAUCAGGAUCAGUAUUUUUUUCUUUGAUCCUGCGUAUCACAUGAAUGCCAUUUCGCUGUACACUCUCUAAUAAUGUGCUCUGUGACAUACUGUAUUCAUUUUUAUACAGAGUUGUUUCGGGUUCUGUAACAUCACCGUAAAGUGGAAACCUUUAUUUACAAACUAAUUACACGCACAUUUGUUUCUCGCUAUCGUUCCACAUUCGGACUCCCUCCUGUGAGGAACGUCACGAUUGUAUAAUUUAACUGUACUUUUGUGAUGACCGAUUUGUUAGACUCGAUAAGCUGCGUAUAAAUCCACUUUUCAUGGAAAGCGCAAACGUUUCGACCGUCAGGUCUUCAUCAGGCACGACACACACGUGGAAUAAAAGUACCACUGUUUAUAGAAGCAGGUACAUCACCUUCAUCAGGCUCGCACUCCAGAUGUCACGUGGUUUGAAUCGAUUGUCACGUGUUUUGGAGUGUGGAGUUUAUCUUCUAUAAAGAGUGGUACUUUAUUCCAGGUGUGUGUGGAGCGUGAUGAAGACCUGGCGGUCGAAGCGUUGUUUUGGAUCUGGAAGUUCGGUGUGUGGAUAUCACGCUUCUUUUUUCCAUGUGGUUAUUUCUGUUGUCCUGCACCUGAGCGUAAAUCAGGGUGCGUUUGGAUGUGCACACCUUUUUUGUUGUUGUUGUUGUUGUAUUUUAGAUUCUUCAGCAAAUUGUAAGGGAUAAUCAAUACAAUAAUGAUUCAGUCAGGUCUGAUAGCAGGUCUAAUCUUUAAAGGGAUAUUUUAAGGAAAUGGAUGGAAAUUUUUAUAUAUAGAUAUAAAUAAUGACACAGGUUUGAUCAGGGACAUGAUCUGCUGUGAAUCUGCCUGAGACAUUUCUUUUUUUUUUUCUUUUUUUUUAUGUACAAUAUUGUUUGUAUGUUUUUAUUAAUUAUUUCCUUUUUUUUUUAUCAAAUUGCAUACAGUAAAAAAAUAUAAUGUACCUUUCUGUUAUUGUUGUUUUUAUUGAGUGAAUAAAUCACUGCUUUUGAAAUAAUUUCGUAUAUAAUCAUCGCAUCAUAUGCUGAGAUGGACUGCAUAACCAUGCAGGGUGUAUUCCCACCUCACCUCACCUACAUCCAUGUUCCCGGGAUACACUCCGGAUCAACGAGACCCUGAGCAGGAUAAAGUGGGUCAUGGAAGAUGAAUAAAUG